UGGACAUGGGAGGGGGAUAUCUUACCGUUGCAGUAGUGUGCUCAUGGAGGCCAGAGGUUCUGCUUAGGAAAAGGAGUUCUUACCCACACAAUUAACCUAAACUGGAGCUUUCAGUUAUCCCUGGGUUUGAGCCCCAGACAUUUUUAUACCUCAUGGCAAGGCUACACAGUAAGAUCAGGAUGGGGAGUAAGAAAGAAUGCAUUCUGGUGCAAAUGUGUGUCAAGAAGACCCGAAGGUUGUUUGUGUAAGAGGAUACUUUCCUGGCCCCUUUGUAAAAUCCUUGUACUUCACACUACAAAUAUAAAAUUAACUGUGAAAAUACACCUAUGUAAAACACAAAAACCAAAGAUGAGUCUAUUUUAAAAAGGUAUCUAGACUCCUGCCAAGAAACGAGGUAGACUGACCCCAGAUACUCAACUCUCCUCCCAGCUCUCUAGCAGAAUACCUGCUAAGGUCUACCUAUCCUCUCUGAUCUCACAACCAAGGAAUUACCAAAAUCUUCUCUAUCUUCCUUUUCCCAACUCAUCCCAGGACCCCAGGCUCCAGUACCAGGAGGGAUUCCUUGGGAGCACAUGAGCUGAGCAGGCCAGAGUAACAGAUAAGCUAACCUUUACCACUCCCUGCCUACUUCUCUCCCAUCUUACCUCCCCAUCCAGUCUCAUCACUAGCUCUGCAACAUCCCUAGCUGUUGCACCCUUCCUAGCCCCUAGCCAAUAUCUCCUGUGGAUCUCGAAUACCUUCUCCUCACAAUCUCCCUCCACCUACUCAUUGCUUUAUCCCAGCCCACAACUCCAGGAGACACCCCGUGCUCAUCCACAGGCCACUCCUGCUAAAGAAGCAGGUAGGCUGACUGUAGAUCUUCACCUUUGCUUUUCCAGAUCUAAUUCUUUAGGUCUGUCCCAAGAUCUAUAGCCGAGCUUAUGGGGUGACCGCUCUUCACUCUCUGUCCCAAGUCCAAGGAGACAGAGUAAGCAGGUUCUGUUUUCUCCCUCCUGUGAACCCCCUCAGACCCACAGCCACAGCCCAUUCCCAGGUGUCAGCUCCCAAUAGCCAGAAGCACAUUUUACCUGGAACUGCAAGAGGCCACACCUAUAUGUCCACAGCAGAACUUCCUAGCAGGCAACGCAUACCCAUUAUACUCUUGUAAAAACCAGAGAAGAAACAGAAACCAAGGAACAAAACACCCAACCAACAAAGACAAGAGCAGAUUAUCAGCACCCAGGACUAUAUGCAAUCUUCCUAAUCCCAGCUGUCUAGACGCAAGCCUGGAAACACUGUAACAGUAAGCUGUCUAGACACAAGCCUGGAAACACAGUAACAGCCAGGACAGCGUGCCUUCUCUACUAGAGCCUAAUCCCAGCUGUCUAGACACAAGCCUGGAAACACUGUAACAGCCAGGACAGCGUGCCUUCUCUUCUAGAGCCUAAUCCCAGCUGUCUAGACACAAGCCUGGAAACACUGUAACAGUAAGCUGUCUAGACACAAGCCUGGAAACACUGUAACAGCCAGGACAGCGAGCCUUCUCUACUAGAGCCUAAUCCCAAGCCUAAUCCCAGCUGUCUAGACACAAGCCUGGAAACACUGUAACAGCCAGGACAGCGUGCCUUCUCUUCUAGAGCCUAAUCCCAGCUGUCUAGACACAAGCCUGGAAACACUGUAACAGUAAGCUGUCUAGACACAAGCCUGGAAACACUGUAACAGCCAGGACAGCGAGCCUUCUCUACUAGAGCCUAAUCCCAGCUGUCUAGACACAAGCCUGGAAACACAGUAACAGCCAGGACAGCGUGCCUUC
rnacentral:lncRNA from 1 species